AGUUACCAGCACGUUAUGUGGGCACUCUAAGGAGACUGCCGGUGCAAACCGGAGGAAGGUGGGGAUGACGUCAAGUCAUCAUGGCCCUUACGGCCUGGGCUACACACGUGCUACAAUGGUCGGUACAAAGGGUUGCCAAGCCGCGAGGUGGAGCUAAUCCCAUAAAACCGAUCGUAGUCCGGAUCGCAGUCUGCAACUCGACUGCGUGAAGUCGGAAUCGCUAGUAAUCGUGAAUCAGAAUGUCACGGUGAAUACGUUCCCGGGCCUU
rnacentral:rRNA from 1 species